AAGAUACGAAUGAGUAAAUAAACAAGAUCUAACACUUGUGUGACAACAAGUUAUGAGGUCGAGCGAGGAGAGUCUGGACGCCAUGAGACUGAACGAAAACGUGCUGGAGCUCGCGAUCUUCCUGAUCUGGACGCCGUUCGAUAUGGAAAGGAAAGAAAUAGAUGGAGUCGAUGUCGGGGUCGUUGUCAGUUUGGCUGUUCACGUCGUCUCCCAGAGACACCAAACACUGAGCGAAGCCUCGAUACACAGAG